AAAUCUUAGCGGUGGAUCACUCGGUUCGUGGAUCGAUGAAGAACGCAGCUAGCUGCGAUAAAUAGUGCGAAUUGCAGACACAUUGAGCACUAAAAUUUCGAACGCACAUUGCGCCAUCGGGUUCAUUCCCGUUGGCACGUCUGGCUGAAGAAAA
rnacentral:rRNA from 1 species